CGGUUUUGUAAAAAUAAGUCCUUUCUCUUAUCAAAAUCUUCAUAAUUUUACUGCUUUUUAAUAAUUAUCCUUCCGUACUCAUAUUUGUCGAAACCAUUUCAGUAUGCAGUGACCGUAAUGAAAAGACCUAUCGAGAGAACAUCGGCAGCCGCACAGUCAAGUACGAAGGAAAUUCCUUGAUUAAAAAAAUGUUAAUAAACAGAGACAUUCGAAACAAGCAUUCACGCUACAUGUAUUAUA
rnacentral:lncRNA from 1 species